AACGCGUUCAAAGGAUCACGGCCGUUUGAGACUGAAUGCUAUAUGGAAUGAACAUACUAUGCACGCUUUCAGCAGGACACAUAACCAAUAACUAUGGUUUGCAUGCCCUGCCAAAGGACCCUAUCAUUUGGAUGCACAGUUGGGUACCAAACGGAUCCCCUGGUCAUUAAUGGAUGCUGGGACCUGCCAAGUCUCCCUCAACUCCUACGAAAAGGACAUGCCAUAAUGAGGCCUUUGAUAGUGACCCGAGUUACUGAUACAUCAACAAUGACAGGCCCUCCCAGUCUACACCACCUCAUAAGAUUGCCUGCUGCAGUUGUUCGAGAGAUGGCCACUUUACAGCCGAACAUGCAGCAUAGAGAAGACUAGCAAAGGGGCUCUCAUCAGCAUCAUGCAGACAUGCCCUCACUGUGAGCAUUCCUAUGAAUGGAACAGUGAGCCACAUGUUGGCAAGUAUCCGGCCAGCAACCUUCACC
rnacentral:lncRNA from 1 species